UAGGGAAUCUUCCGCAAUGGGCGAAAGCCUGACGGAGCAACGCCGCGUGAGUGAUGAAGGUCUUCGGAUUGUAAAACUCUGUUAUUAGGGAAGAACAAAUGUGUAAGUAACUAUGCACGUCUUGACGGUACCUAAUCAGAAAGCCACGGCUAACUACGUGCCAGCAGCCGCGGUAAUACGUAGGUGGCAAGCGUUAUCCGGAAUUAUUGGGCGUAAAGCGCGCGUAGGCGGUUUUUUAAGUCUGAUGUGAAAGCCCACGGCUCAACCGUGGAGGGUCAUUGGAAACUGGAAAACUUGAGUGCAGAAGAGGAAAGUGGAAUACCAUGUGUAGCGGUGAAAUGCGCGGAGAUAUGGGGGAACACCAGUGGCGAAGGCGACUUUCUGGUCUGUAACUGACGCUGAUGUGCGAAAGCGUGGGGAUCAAACAGG
rnacentral:rRNA from 1 species